UCAAAAUUCAAGCUCUGCUUGGUGUUGAGUCCUGUCGAAAGACAGACUCCAAACGCAUUGGCGACUUUGGUUGUGGUCCGCUACGUGACAAAACUCUCGUAAUGAACCCGGCUAGAGUCUGCCUGUUUACGAAC
rnacentral:misc_RNA from 1 species